UGCAGUCGACGGUAAGGCCCCAGCUUGCUGGGGUACACGAGUGGCGAACGGGUGAGUAACACGUGGGUGACCUGCCCCGCACUUCGGGAUAAGCCUGGGAAACUGGGUCUAAUACCGGAUAGGACCGCACCGUGAGGGUGUGGUGGAAAGUUUUUCGGUGUGGGAUGGGCCCGCGGCCUAUCAGCUUGUUGGUGGGGUAAUGGCCUACCAAGGCGGCGACGGGUAGCCGGCCUGAGAGGGUGGACGGCCACAUUGGGACUGAGACACGGCCCAGACUCCUACGGGAGGCAGCAGUGGGGAAUAUUGCACAAUGGGCGGAAGCCUGAUGCAGCGACGCCGCGUGGGGGAUGACGGCCUUCGGGUUGUAAACUCCUUUCACCAUCGACGAAGGUUUUCUGACGGUAGAUGGAGAAGAAGCACCGGCUAACUACGUGCCAGCAGCCGCGGUAAUACGUAGGGUGCGAGCGUUGUCCGGAAUUACUGGGCGUAAAGAGCUCGUAGGUGGUUUGUCGCGUCGUCUGUGAAAUUCCGGGGCUUAACUCCGGGCGUGCAGGCGAUACGGGCAUAACUUGAGUACUGUAGGGGAGACUGGAAUUCCUGGUGUAGCGGUGAAAUGCGCAGAUAUCAGGAGGAACACCGGUGGCGAAGGCGGGUCUCUGGGCAGUAACUGACGCUGAGGAGCGAAAGCAUGGGUAGCGAACAGGAUUAGAUACCCUGGUAGUCCAUGCCGUAAACGGUGGGCGCUAGGUGUAGGGGUCUUCCACGACUUCUGUGCCGUAG
rnacentral:rRNA from 1 species